AGGAUUCCCAUUUUCUCUUUCAUCAAAUAUUCUCUCGGCAAUUUCCAAAUAUUUUCCUCUAUAAGAAUCCUUCAUACAAGAUAAAUCACUGCAUUUUUCUUCAAUUUUAAUAGUGCUAGCAAGAUUUGAAGAUUUUCCUACCAAAAAGAUGGAAGAACUAUGGAUGGCAGCAACAUCAUAUUCCAUGUUAGACACAAUAGCAACUACUCUACGAAAUUUGCUGAUAGUGUCACCUGUUUGGGAUCAACUUGACAAAACCGAGAGUUACUUUAUGAAGGUACAAUGCAUGCAGUGAAGUGUUGGUUAAUGUUCAUCGACGAAAUUGAAGAUUUUUUUUAGUUGACGAAAUUGAAGAAAUUUGAGGUACAACUAAAGAUGUUCUUUACUUUUUUUUUCUAUUUUCCUUACUGUAUAGAUAUUUUACUCCAACAAUUUGUAGUUUUUUCUGAAUUUUCAUUAUUAGGGUUUUUAGGGAUUUCAGUGACAAAGUUUGGAUUUUGUGUGGGUUUUUUUGGGGAUUUGACUAAUUUAUGUAUUAUUCUUCAGAUUUCACUGAAAAAUACAAGGUUAUUUUGGUAAUUUUCUGGUUUAAGGGUAUUUUGGGUAUUUUCUUUUGUUGAGAAUCUUCUGGGGGCUGUUAAGGAAAUAUAAUGGAUAACUAUAUUUUGACCUGUUUUCAUCACGGGGAAAAUAUUAUAGCCGGCCCUAAGCUUAGUUAUAAAGGUGAGGUUGAUGUCUUUGCCGUUGCUAUUGAUAAAGACCACUAUAGUCUUUUUGAGUUUCUUUCCUAUGCCAAAGAUCUUGGGUAUUCAAAUAUUGAGGGGUUUUACCGUCAACAUAUAUAUGGUGAAGAGUUACCUCCAAUUAAUUCUGAUAGGGAGUUAUUAGACUUUGUAAAGGACUUGAAAGAUGGUGAUGAGCUUGAUGUGUUUCUUCUUUAUGACAUUGAUGAAGACAUUAAGGUUGUACAAAGUCUUCUCUUCUUUUAGAAGGGCCACCCAUGUGUAUUGAUGAAGAUGAUAUAGGCAGUGAUGGUAAUGAGGGUAGGGGUCUUGAUAAAGAUCUGAAUGGUAAUGAAUCAGAUGUGCUUAGUACUGAUUCAGAUAUUGAAAUCCCUGAUGAGGAUGGUUCAGACAUUGAUGAAGAGUUGAGAGCCUUUAGGGCUGAAAAUAGAAGCAAAAAAAAUCCAAAAAAAGCAAAAUCUAUAGAAGAAAUACUUGUAGGUGAAGAUGGUAUCGACAAAGGUUUUUAGGACAUUUUUAGAAAAAGAAAGACAGAUAUAUGGGUAGAUUAAGAGUUGAUAAAGAGUUUAUUGAUAGUUCAGACUGUGAUAGUAUUGAUAGCACUGAUUUAGUAGAUGAGGAUGCUGUUGUAGGUGCUGACUUACCAAGGGGAAGAAGAAGUAGUAAAAUCAGAUUUGAUGAUGAUUAUGGUGUUGUUGUUUUUGAACUUGGGAUGAUUUUUAAUGGUCCUAAGGAAUUUAGAAAAGCAUUGGGGAGGUAUGCAGUAGAAAAUAGAGUUUAAAUUGUUUUAAGACCUAGUGAGACUCAUAAAGUAAGGGCUAAGUACAAAUGUAAGCCAAAAUAUAGUUGGUUAUGUUAUGGUGCAAUUGACAAAGAUUCUGGUAAUUUCAUGAUUAAAAACUAUAGUCCAGUGCAUAAGUGUACAACAUCAAACAAGAACAAGAUAUGCACAACUAAAUUUAUUGCUGACAGAUUUAGAGAUGACAUAAUUAAACAACCAUCUUUGAGGAUUUGAAAAAUACAAGAACUGUACAGAGAAAAAUUGGGAUUAUAUGUGGGUAGAGUAAUAUGUUAUAAGGCUAGAUUACAGGUUCUAAGAGAGUCCAUAUGGAACUGGAACUUGGAGUUUGCAAGAUUAUGUGAUAAUGUUGAGAUGAUAAACAAACCAAUCCUGGUAAUUUUAUUUGACUAAGAAUGGAUACAGAAACUGUCCCUGGUAAAAAUUUAUUUGUGUAUUUCUAUGUGUGUCUUGAUGCAUUGAAGAAAGGUUGGAUGGAAGGAUGUAGAAGAAUUAUAGGUUUGAUGGAUAUUUCUUAAAAUGUGCUUGUAAGAGUGAACUUCUAGUAGCAGUUGGGAAGAAUGGUAACAAUCAGAUAUUUCCUAUAGCCUGGGCUAUUGUGGAGAAGGAAACUAAGCAGAGUUGGAGUUUUUUUAUCAAGUAUUUGAAAGAGGAUCUGCAGUUGGGUGCUAGAGCAGGUCUUACUGUGAUGGCUGAUACACAAAAGGGCUUUCUUGCUACUAUUUUUGUCUUGCUACCAAAUGUUGAAGUAAGAAGAUGGACUAGACAUAUUUGGUCCAAUUAGAGUGAACAGUGGAAGGGAGAAAAAAGGAGAAAGUAGUUCUAGAAAUGCUCAAAGGCAAGCUUUGAAGUGAAGUUCAAAGAAGAACUUGAUUACAUCAGCCAACUUGGUAUGGAAGGUAAGGAUAUUAUUGGUGAUUUAUUGCAUUAUCCUAGGCAGUCAUGAGUUAGGGUAUUCUUUAAAGAAGAUUGUAAGUAUGAUGCUGUUGAAAAUGACACGUGUGAAACCUUUAACUCAUGGAUCUUAAUUCCUAGACACAAAUCUAUCAUUACUAUGUUGGAGGAUAUUAGGAGAAAAAUCAUGACUAGAACUGUGGAUAUUAUUAAGUUUGCCAAUACUUGGAUAUGUAAUAUUGCACCUAUGGCUAGACUUAUAUUGGAGGAGAAUAAGGAAAGGGCUAAGGCUUGCAAGGUUCUUUGGAAUGAUGAUGUUGGAUUUGAAAUUAGAGAAGGGGAGUUUAGGCAUACAGUGGACUUGAGUAGUAGGAUUUGUAGUUGUAGAACUUGGCAGUUAAGAGACAUUCCCUGCCAACAUGCUAUUUCUACUUUGUAUCAUGUUGAACAAGAGCCUGAACCUUAUGUGGAGUAUUGGUAUAAAAAUAAAACCUUCAUGAAGGCUUACAUUCACUUUAUACAACCAAUAUCCACUAUGAAGAUGUGGCCUGAGAUAAACAAUCCAAAGAUUGAGCCUCCUGAACCUAAGAAAAUGCCUGGUAGACCUACAAAAAAUAGAAGACGAGGUAAAGGUGAACCAAAGGAAAAUAUGGAAAGCUGUCAAAACAAGGGUUGAAAAUAACAUGUUCCAAGUGUCAUCAACAAGGCCAUAAUAGAAGAUACUGUAAGGUAAAACAAUGACUUUUAAUUUAAGUUUAGAAUUUGAAUUCAUAUUGAUUUAACUGUUGUGUAUGUGUUUAUAGAUUCCUGAUCCAAAUGAACAAGUUCCUAGCCAAGGGUUCCAGCCUAGUGGUCAUAGUUCACAAGUAAGUUACCAGCCUAAAAGCUCAAGCCAACCUGCACCUUCAACCUAAAAAAAAUCAGCAAAAUGUAGCUCAAGCAAGUCUGCACCAAUAAGCUCAACUCAAGCUGCAACUUUAACAACAGUUUGUGCUGAUACAAGCAGAGUUAGGAGCUUGAAGGUAGCUGCAACAUCUACCUCUUGUGGUGAUACUAGGAUCCCUGUUACAGAAGGAAUAAAAAGCCAACUACCUCCUAGAAAUAAAAAAAUUGUUGGGGACAAGAGAGGUAGAGUUGAAACAACAAUAGAUGCUGAUUGUGGUGGAUCUAAAAGGUUAAAGAAUGCUGGAUUUAAAAUCUACAAUAUUCAAAAGGAAACCCAAAUAUUGAAUGUAAUUUGAAUCAAGCAUUGGUUUUUUAACAAAAAAAUACAUAUAUUAAUUAUUGUUCCUUCUUUUUAAAGAAAAAAACGGUCGGGGACAUCAAGCCAAAGGAUCCUACAAAGUGGUACAACUUACAAGGAUGCAAGUUCUAAAGGUGUUGAUCUUGGUUAUAAGACAAUAGGAUUGAAAUGAAAAAGUAAAGAUGCUGUCACGACCAAUCAAUUGCAGCAAAUGGCAAAUAAAAAGAAAAAGAAGUAGUCAAGAAGAAGUAGUAUAUUUUGAUGGUGUUUUGCGUUUUUGUUGUGUAACAUAUUGUACCAAACAAUUUGGUAGUUUAAAUCUGGUAGUGUAUAGCAGUAAACAAGGCCUUUACUUCUUUAUUUUAAAUCUGGCCUUAAAUAUGCUAGGGUAUGCAGUAAACAAUUGGGUUGUUUGAAGCAUGUUUUGUACGUACAUUACUAUGACUUUGAGCUCAAAAUGGAGCACAUUUAUGAAGUUAUUGUUGGUGUUUCUUUGU